rnacentral:rRNA from 1 species
AACGAACGCUGGCGGCAUGCCUAACACAUGCAAGUCGAACGAAGGCUUCGGCCUUAGUGGCGCACGGGUGCGUAACGCGUGGGAACCUGCCCCUCGGUUCGGAAUAACAGUUAGAAAUGACUGCUAAUACCGGAUGAUGACUUCGGUCCAAAGAUUUAUCGCCGAGGGAUGGGCCCGCGUAGGAUUAGCUAGUUGGUGGGGUAAAGGCCUACCAAGGCGACGAUCCUUAGCUGGUCUGAGAGGAUGAUCAGCCACACUGGGACUGAGACACGGCCCAGACUCCUACAGGAGGCAGCAGUGGGGAAUAUUGGACAAUGGGCGAAAGCCUGAUCCAGCAAUGCCGCGUGAGUGAUGAAGGCCUUAGGGUUGUAAAGCUCUUUUACCAGGGAUGAUAAUGACAGUACCUGGAGAAUAAGCUCCGGCUAACUCCGUG